rnacentral:rRNA from 13 species
CUGGAAAUAGCCCCACCGUAUAGACCGUACCCGAAACCGACACAGGUGGUCAGGUAGAGUAUACCAAGGCGUUUGAGAGAAGUAUCCUGAAGGAACUCGGCAAAUUGCCUCCGUACCUUCGGAAGAAGGAGGCCCCGUUAGAAGGCAACUUUUAGCGGGGGGCACAGGCCAGGGGGUAGCGACUGUUUAGCAAAAACACAGGACUCUGCUAAGUCGGCUUCAAGACGACGUAUAGGGUCUGACGCCUGCCCGGUGCUUGAAGGUUAAGAGGAGGAGUGCAAGCUCCGAAUUGAAGCCCAAGUAAACGGCGGCCGUAACUAUAA